UCCCCGCCCGCGUCGUUCUGGGGCGGGCCCAGCAGGGGCGUCCAGGCUGGUCAAGUUCAAGAGCCUGAGAACUGCCCUGGUUCUGGGAAGGGGGCAGUGGUGUCCCCUGCUCUGUCCCAGGUCAGCAGGAGCUCGGGGCUUCACUCCCUCUGGGUCUUGGGGCUGCAAGCUGCAGGGGCCUCGGCUAGGAAGCCUUCAGCAUCCGCAAGGACUGGGAGGGAGUGCAGGGGUGCUUUUGGGGUCUGGGCAGAAUGCUCACAAGGUCAGGGCAACAGGAAGGCAAAGUGACUCACCACACAGUGGAGGAGUUAGGAGGUGGACCCAGACCAUCAGAUGUGCAGAACCAGAGACAGAGUGUGCUUUUCUGGAUAUGUAAAGGAAGGACUCACGUGACUUUAAUGGACACCAGAGCCAGAGUACAGCUCAAGAGCUUCACCUCAACUACCUUUUUUCUUGCUAAUCUCCACUUCCAACUCAGCCAUGAACCACCAUGAUACUCACACAAAGGUGGCAGACAACAUCCCUUCCCCAAAGGCCACCUAUCCAGCCUGCAGAUGUGCACCCCAUGGAUGUAGCUGACUCUUGGAUGGACUGGGAGAAGAAGCCAGCAUGAAGCUCAGAGAAGUUAUAAGAAUACCAUGUGUUCCUUGUAAUAUCCAAGACAAAGAUCACACCCUUUCAUUGGAGUGAACAGAAGCCACUGAAAAGACUGGAAAGAGAAUACUGGAAAGGAAGCAGUUACAGUCUAUUGUCCACUAAGCAGCUCAUACACAAAACACUUCCUUCAUCGCAGACGUUCUAUCAGACAGUGCUGCCUUGAAGCCUUCAUGACGUGGGAGCUGGCAGAGGAGACUGUGUGGGGUUGUUUGCUGUCUUUGGUGCCCGUGUUGAGCCUGAGGUUCAUUAUUAGUCAGCCAUGGCAGUCAGGGUAGAGAGCCAGUUGUGGAGGAGCAGAAGAACAGAUGCGAGUGUGAAGACAAAUCCGUGAAUGGCUAAAGUCUUGAAGGCAGGUGCCAUCGGCAUGUGUCUCCUUGUCUCUAACCUCAGUGGUGUCAAUGUCCUGCAGAGGAAACUGCCUCCCUUCAUGAAUCUGAGGUAGCAUUUGGCUUAAGACCUGAAGAAAACAAAGGGGGAGAUGUGGUAGGAAGCAGAGGAGCUGUACGCCUGGGGGUCUGUGCAGCAAAGCAAGACAGCUGAUCGCAGCAGUGCGUUAACUGCCAACAACCCAGAGCCCUGCAUUUUCCUUCAGAGCGUAACACACGAGGCUGCUGCUUUGCUGCUGCCUCUCAGAUCGCGUACUACACAUCCCUGGUGACCGGCACUAAGCUGGAGCAGUGCAUAGAUUCUGGGCGAUGUUUUCUGCUUGGCUGGCUAACACAUACAAAGUUACCACAUAGCCCCGUGGCUCCAGACAUCGAGUCUGCGCUGAAGGCAGGGGCAAGGGAAAGCAGCAGCGAUGAGCUCUCCUCUCCUGUGCCUGCCUGUCCCUGUCAUCAGAAGAGUACCCCAACAGGCCUCUUUGCAUGCUUCAUGGGCUAGAAUUUCGUAACACUAACAUCCCUGACACCAAAGGAGGGGGAUAUUGAACUUUUCCAAUCUCCUUUAGAGGCAGGGAAAGGAAAGUCUGGGCAUUUGUUACUAAUACCCUAUCUGUUGGAGAUCUGCAUGGUACAUUCCCCAUCAUUCCCCUCUUUAUAGAUGGAAAAGGAGUUCAAACAUCUAGUCCAACUCUUUCCUUUGCAUGUGAUGAAACCAAGACCUAGAAGGGACAAGAAGCUUUCCCAAGGGCAUGCAGUUAGUUAGUUAGUUAGUUAGUUAGUUAGUGUAUCUGGGAGUAUGGAAGUCAGACCAUGAUAUAUGUAUAAAAUUUCUGAUCUCUGUAUUGGACAUAUUAUUCAGAAAGCAGUACCUGGAAAGAUAUCUAUAUUCAGAACUAGACCUCAAUGGAAAUCACUCAGCAAAAUUUAAACAUUACCUUUUUGUUUGACAAGUUGGCAAAUUUGGGAAAGAUUCCAUUCAGCAGAUGUCAGCUAUUUUAAUAUUGAGCACUUACUAUGCGCCAGGCUCUGCAUGAUGCUGACAAAACCUGUGCCCUAACAAAGCCUAGAAUGAGGAUAACAAUAAUGAGAUUAUAAUGAUGAUGAUGAUGAUGAUGAUGAAGAAAAAGAAUAAAAGACCAUAGGAGAUUCACUAUAGCCACCAAACUGCAUAUUUUCUUAUUUUUACAAAUAAGGAAACUAAGGCUGAGACAAUAAACACUCCAAGUUGUAAGUAUAAAGAAGUUCCUUUCAGCAGGUUUGCUUGAGCUGGCUCACGUGGUGGCAUGGUGUCCCUUUGGGGUCAAAGUAGAAGUUAUAAGGAGCGUAAAUGGGAGUUCCAGCACUGCUUAGCAAUCAGAGUGAUUCCCAAGGCAGCGUUGGCAGAAGCAGCUCAGUGAAAAGGCCAACUUCACUGAUUGAUGGGGUGGGGUGCACACAGCAUAGAGAGAUUGCCACAAACCAUCUGCCAUUUCUACUAUGGGAUUCGUUCUGAUUACAGUUCUUACAUUUGCACAAUAUCUUCAUUUUCUUGAAGAUGAAAAGAAGACUUAUGACCCACAGAUAUUCCACUCCUGGACCACCGAUCCACUCUGAGUUCCUGGCUUACUGGCAUAUGUGAAGGAGUUAGCACCUGACAAAACUGCAAGGUGGGCCGAAGAGCAGUUAGCUUGUGCCCAUUCCUCUUGCUUACCGCAGGCUGCAAAACCCAGGAAACUAGAAAAGAGCUCAUCUCGAAUCUGUCCUCCUGAGUGUCCACACUUCCUGCUGUCUGCUCCAGAACCCUCACAUCAAAUGCGGGAGAAGUAGGAGGGAAUCAAGCCUGACUUAAGACCUCAGUGAAAAUGCUAUUCGAGCGUAUCCUAGAAUCUGACUUGAUGGUAAACAGGCCCGUGGAGGGUGUUUUAUGUUAGUGUCAAGCAGGAAAUUCCUCAAAGCCAUUACUGAGCUUUAUGGUUUCUGCUUUCCAUGGUUCUUGUGGCCUUCUAACAUUCCACAGAAUUUAAUUAUUUAUUAAUUUUUUGCUUGUUAGCCACUUUCACAGUAGAAUAUAGAUUCUUAGAGGGUAGGAAUCUUUGUGAUUUUAUUUUUUACAACCAGAACUUGUAUUUUAUCCUGUACACAAUAAGUUUAAAAGAAAUUGACUGUUAGGGCAAUAUAAUCAACCCCAAAUAAGGUCAUACAAUAAAGUUUAUAAUCAUUUAAAAAAUAGUAGAGGGGGCUGGAGAGAUGGCUUAGCGGUUAAGCACUUGCCUGUG